rnacentral:misc_RNA from 1 species
GGAAAAAGUCGUAACAAGGUUUCCGUAGGUGAACCUGCGGAAGGAUCAUUCAUAAUAAAGUGUUUUAUGGCACUUUUUAAAAAUCCAUAUCCACCUUGUGUGCAAUGUUAGAUCUCGUCAAUCUUGGCGAGAUUUUUAUACAUCAACUCAUUCUUUAACUAAUUUGUCUGAAAAAUAUUAUGAAUACUUAAUUCAAAAUACAACUCUCAACAACGGAUCUCUUGGCUCUC